CAGGACGAACGCUGGCGGCGUGCCUAAUACAUGCAAGUCGAGCGGACAGAUGGGAGCUUGCUCCCUGAUGUUAGCGGCGGACGGGUGAGUAACACGUGGGUAACCUGCCUGUAAGACUGGGAUAACUCCGGGAAACCGGGGCUAAUACCGGAUGGUUGUUUGAACCGCAUGGUUCAAACAUAAAAGGUGGCUUCGGCUACCACUUACAGAUGGACCCGCGGCGCAUUAGCUAGUUGGUGAGGUAACGGCUCACCAAGGCAACGAUGCGUAGCCGACCUGAGAGGGUGAUCGGCCACACUGGGACUGAGACACGGCCCAGACUCCUACGGGAGGCAGCAGUAGGGAAUCUUCCGCAAUGGACGAAAGUCUGACGGAGCAACGCCGCGUGAGUGAUGAAGGUUUUCGGAUCGUAAAGCUCUGUUGUUAGGGAAGAACAAGUACCGUUCGAAUAGGGCGGUACCUUGACGGUACCUAACCAGAAAGCCACGGCUAACUACGUGCCAGCAGCCGCGGUAAUACGUAGGUGGCAAGCGUUGUCCGGAAUUAUUGGGCGUAAAGGGCUCGCAGGCGGUUUCUUAAGUCUGAUGUGAAAGCCCCCGGCUCAACCGGGGAGGGUCAUUGGAAACUGGGGAACUUGAGUGCAGAAGAGGAGAAUGGAAUUCCACGUGUAGCGGUGAAAUGCGUAGAGAUGUGGAGGAACACCAGUGGCGAAGGCGACUCUCUGGUCUGUAACUGACGCUGAGGAGCGAAAGCGUGGGGAGCGAACAGGAUUAGAUACCCUGGUAGUCCACGCCGUAAACGAUGAGUGCUAAGUGUUAGGGGGUUUCCGCCCCUUAGUGCUGCAGCUAACGCAUUAAGCACUCCGCCUGGGGAGUACGGUCGCAAGACUGAAACUCAAAGGAAUUGACGGGGGCCCGCACAAGCGGUGGAGCAUGUGGUUUAAUUCGAAGCAACGCGAAGAACCUUACCAGGUCUUGACAUCCUCUGACAAUCCUAGAGAUAGGACGUCCCCUUCGGGGGCAGAGUGACAGGUGGUGCAUGGUUGUCGUCAGCUCGUGUCGUGAGAUGUUGGGUUAAGUCCCGCAACGAGCGCAACCCUUGAUCUUAGUUGCCAGCAUUCAGUUGGGCACUCUAAGGUGACUGCCGGUGACAAACCGGAGGAAGGUGGGGAUGACGUCAAAUCAUCAUGCCCCUUAUGACCUGGGCUACACACGUGCUACAAUGGACAGAACAAAGGGCAGCGAAACCGCGAGGUUAAGCCAAUCCCACAAAUCUGUUCUCAGUUCGGAUCGCAGUCUGCAACUCGACUGCGUGAAGCUGGAAUCGCUAGUAAUCGCGGAUCAGCAUGCCGGGGGAAAAACCUUUCCCGGGCCUUGUACACACCGCCCGUCACACCACGAGAGUUUGUAACACCCGAAGUCGGUGAGGUAACCUUUUAGGAGCCAGCCGCCGAAGGUGGGACAGAUGAUUGGGG
rnacentral:rRNA from 1 species